rnacentral:lncRNA from 1 species
GCAUGAGGGCCAGCGGGCUGCAGCAGCGCCUGCUUCACUGGGGAGGCAGCAGAGCACCAGGUCGUCGCGAUGGCGAGCUGGUUUUUCGGGAACGGUGAAGCAGGGAAGCAGGACCACAGGGAGGAAAAGGCCAGAAGGAGGGAGAAGGGCUGAGCAGACCCUACAGGGAAACCCCCGUCCCUCCAAGGUAGCUUUGGAUUGCUGUGAAGGCAGCUCUCAGAGGGAAGCUAUGGACAAUCUGAUCAGGAAGAUGGAUGAAGAGAAAACCCUGAAAGUGGAAACUUCUGGAGGCUGUGAAAGCAUCCUUCCCUGGACUCCAGCUUCUGCCGGACAACUUGGUGGCAAGAGCAGACGUCUCUGAUGGUAAAGGUAUGAGUAAACUAAACUUCCAUUGGUGACUUUACUCUAUGGUAGUGACUGCCUUUGAAAACAAAUACGUAAAACUUCCCCUAAGCUGGAGAUGUCUUGAUGUUAAAUA